CCUACGGGAGGCAGCAGUGGGGAAUAUUGCACAAUGGGCGGAAGCCUGAUGCAGCAACGCCGCGUGCGGGAUGACGGCCUUCGGGUUGUAAACCGCUUUCGCCUGUGACGAAGCGUGAGUGACGGUAAUGGGUAAAGAAGCACCGGCUAACUACGUGCCAGCAGCCGCGGUGAUACGUAGGGUGCGAGCGUUGUCCGGAUUUAUUGGGCGUAAAGGGCUCGUAGGUGGUUGAUCGCGUCGGAAGUGUAAUCUUGGGGCUUAACCCUGAGCGUGCUUUCGAUACGGGUUGACUUGAGGAAGGUAGGGGAGAAUGGAAUUCCUGGUGGAGCGGUGGAAUGCGCAGAUAUCAGGAGGAACACCAGUGGCGAAGGCGGUUCUCUGGGCCUUUCCUGACGCUGAGGAGCGAAAGCGUGGGGAGCGAACAGGCUUAGAUACCCUGGUAGUCCACGCUGUAAACGGUGGGUACUAGGUGUGGGGUCCAUUCCACGGGUUCCGUGCCGUAGCUAACGCUUUAAGUACCCCGCCUGGGGAGUACGGCCGCAAGGCUAAAACUCAAAGGAAUUGACGGGGCCCCGCACAAGCGGCGGAGCAUGCGGAUUAAUUCGAUGCAACGCGUAGAACCUUACCUGGGUUUGACAUGGAUCGGGAGUGCUCAGAGAUGGGUGUGCCUCUUUUGGGGUCGGUUCACAGGUGGUGCAUGGCUGUCGUCAGCUCGUGUCGUGAGAUGUUGGGUUAAGUCCCGCAACGAGCGCAACCCUUGUUCACUGUUGCCAGCACGUUAUGGUGGGGACUCAGUGGAGACCGCCGGGGUCAACUCGGAGGAAGGUGGGGAUGACGUCAAGUCAUCAUGCCCCUUAUGUCCAGGGCUUCACGCAUGCUACAAUGGCUGGUACAGAGAGUGGCGAGCCUGUGAGGGUGAGCGAAUCUCGGAAAGCCGGUCUCAGUUCGGAUUGGGGUCUGCAACUCGACCUCAUGAAGUCGGAGUCGCUAGUAAUCGCAGAUCAGCAACGCUGCGGUGAAUACGUUCCCGGGCCUUGUACACACCGCCCGUCACGUCAUGAAAGUUGGUAACACCCGAAGCCGGUGGCCCAAACUUGUUAGGGAGCCGUCGAAGGUGGGAUCGGCGAUUGGGACGAAGUCGUAACAAGGUAGCCGUACCGGAAGGUGCGGCUG
rnacentral:rRNA from 1 species